rnacentral:rRNA from 1 species
UAGCUAGUUGGUGAGGUAAAGGCUUACCAAGGCGACGAUCUGUAGCGGGUCUGAGAGGAUGAUCCGCCACACUGGAACUGAGACACGGUCCAGACUCCUACGGGAGGCAGCAGUGGGGAAUUUUGGACAAUGGGGGCAACCCUGAUCCAGCCAUGCCGCGUGAGUGAAGAAGGCCUUCGGGUUGUAAAGCUCUUUCGGCCGGGAAGAAAUCGCAUGGGCCAAUACCCUGUGUGGAUGACGGUAGCGGAAUAAGAAGCACCGGCUAACUACGUGCCAGCAGCCGCGGUAAUACGUAGGGUGCGAGCGUUAAUCGGAAUUACUGGGCGUAAAGCGUGCGCAGGCGGUUUUGUAAGACAGGCGUGAAAUCCCCGGGCUUAACCUGGGAACUGCGUUUGUGACUGCAAGGCUAGAGUACGGCAGAGGGGGGUGGAAUUCCACGUGUAGCAGUGAAAUGCGUAGAGAUGUGGAGGAACACCAAUGGCGAAGGCAGCCCCCUGGGUCGAUACUGACGCUCAUGCACGAAAGCGUGGGUAGCAAACAGGAUUAGAUACCCUGGUAGUCCACGCCCUAAACUAUGUCAACUAGGUGUUGGGUGGGUAAAACCAUUUAGUACCGUAGCUAACGCGUGAAGUUGACCGCCUGGGGAGUACGGCCGCAAGGUUAAAACUCAAAGGAAUUGACGGGGACCCGCACAAGCGGUGGAUGAUGUGGAUUAAUUCGAUGCAACGCGAAAAACCUUACCUACCCUUGACAUGCCAGGAACUUGCCAGAGAUGGCUUGGUGCCCGAAAGGGAGCCUGGACACAGGUGCUGCAUGGCUGUCGUCAGCUCGUGUCGUGAGAUGUUGGGUUAAGUCCCGCAACGAGCGCAACCCUUGUCGUUAAUUGCCAUCAUUUAGUUGGGCACUUUAACGAGACUGCCGGUGACAAACCGGAGGAAGGUGGGGAUGACGUCAAGUCCUCAUGGCCCUUAUGGGUAGGGCUUCACACGUCAUACAAUGGUCGGUACAAAGGGUUGCCAAGCCGCGAGGCGGAGCCAAUCCCAGAAAGCCGAUCGUAGUCCGGAUUGCAGGCUGCAACUCGCCUGCAUGAUGUCGGAAUCGCUAGUAAUCGUGGAUCAGCAUGUCACGGUGAAUACGUUCCCGGGUCUUGUACACACCGCCCGUCACACCAUGGGAGCGGGUUCCGCCAGAAGUAGGUAGCCUAACCGCAAGGGGGGCGCUUACCACGGCGGGGUUCGUGACUGGGGUGAAGUCGGAACAAGGUAGCCGUAGGGGAACCUGCGGCUG